rnacentral:misc_RNA from 1 species
GAAAUGCGAUAAGUAAUGUGAAUUGCAGAAUUCAGUGAAUCAUCGAAUCUUUGAACGCACAUUGCGCCCGCCAGUAUUCUGGCGGGCAUGCCUGUCCGAGCGUCAUUUCAACCAUCAAGCCCCCGGGCUUGUGUUGGGGACCUGCGGCUGCCCGCAGGCCCUGAAAACCAGUGGCGGGCUCGCUGUCACACCGAGUAGUAGCAAUCACCUCGCUCAGGGCGUGCUGCGGGUUCCGGCCGUUAAACAGCCUUACAAAACCCAAGGUUGACCUCGGAUCAGGUAGGAAGACCCGCUGAACUUAAGC